rnacentral:rRNA from 1 species
UACGGAGGAUGCGAGCGUUAUCCGGAUUUAUUGGGUUUAAAGGGUGCGUAGGCGGCUUUUUAAGUCAGCGGUGAAAUUUUGCAGCUCAACUGUAAAAGUGCCUUCGAAACUGGUUUCCUUGAGUGUAGAUGAAGUAGGCGGAAUUUGUGGUGUAGCGGUGAAAUGCAUAGAUAUCACGAGGAACUCCGAUUGCGCAGGCAGCUUACUAAACUACUACUGACGCUCAGGCACGAAGGCGUGGGGAUCAAACAGGAUUAGAUACCCCCGUAGU